UUAAGUGAAUAAGGGCGCACGGUGGAUGCCUUGGCACUAGGAGCCGAUGAAGGACGGGACUAACACCGAUAUGCUUUGGGGAGCUGUACGUAAGCUAUGAUCCAGAGAUUUCCGAAUGGGGGAACCCAGCAUCUUUAAUAGGAUGUUACGAUUGUGUGAAUACAUAGCACAUUCGAGGUAGACGCAGAGAACUGAAACAUCUAAGUACCUGCAGGAAGAGAAAGAAAAUUCGAUUCCCUGAGUAGCGGCGAGCGAAACGGGAAAAGCCCAAACCAACAAGCUUGCUUGUUGGGGUUGUAGGACUCCAAUAUGGUCGUUCUUUCAGAUAGUCGAAUGACUUGGAAAAGUCAGUCAAAGAGGGUAAAAACCCCGUAGACGAAAUGUGGAAGACACCUAGGAGGAUCCUGAGUACGGCGGAACACGAGAAAUUCCGUCGGAAUCCGGGAGGACCAUCUCCCAAGGCUAAAUACUCCCUAGUGACCGAUAGUGAACCAGUACCGUGAGGGAAAGGUGAAAAGCACCCCGGAAGGGGAGUGAAAUAGAACCUGAAACCGUGUGCCUACAACAAGUCAAAGCCCGUUAAUGGGUGAUGGCGUGCCUUUUGUAGAAUGAACCGGCGAGUUACGAUUGCAUGCGAGGUUAAGUUGAAGAGACGGAGCCGCAGCGAAAGCGAGUCUGAAUAGGGCGUUUGAGUAUGUAGUCGUAGACCCGAAACCAUGUGAUCUACCCAUGUCCAGGUUGAAGGUGCGGUAAAACGCAGUGGAGGACCGAACCCACGUCCGUUGAAAAGUGCGGGGAUGAGGUGUGGGUAGCGGAGAAAUUCCAAACGAACUUGGAGAUAGCUGGUUCUCUCCGAAAUAGCUUUAGGGCUAGCCUCGGAAUUGAGAAUGAUGGAGGUAGAGCACUGUUUGGACUAGGGGCCCAUCUCGGGUUACCGAAUUCAGAUAAACUCCGAAUGCCAUUCAUUCAUAUCCGGGAGUCAGACUGUGAGUGAUAAGAUCCAUAGUCGAAAGGGAAACAGCCCAGACCACCAGCUAAGGUCCCAAAAUAUAUGUUAAGUGGAAAAGGAUGUGGGGUUGCACAGACAACUAGGAUGUUGGCUUAGAAGCAGCCACCAUUUAAAGAGUGCGUAAUAGCUCACUAGUCGAGUGACCCUGCGCCGAAAAUGUACCGGGGCUAAACAUAUUACCGAAGCUGUGGAGUACACCUUUAGGUGUAUUGGUAGGAGAGCGUUCUAAGGGCGUCGAAGGCAGAUCGUGAGGACUGCUGGAGCGCUUAGAAGUGAGAAUGCCGGUAUGAGUAGCGAAAGACAGGUGAGAAUCCUGUCCACCGAAUGACUAAGGUUUCCUGGGGAAGGCUCGUCCGCCCAGGGUUAGUCGGGACCUAAGCCGAGGCCGAUAGGCGUAGGCGAUGGAUAACAGGUUGAUAUUCCUGUACCCGUUGUUUUUGUUUGAGCAAUGGAGGGACGCAGGAGGCUAAGGAAUGCAGACGAUCGGAAAUGUCUGUCCAAGCAGUAAGUCUGAAGAGGAGUCAAAUGCUUCUUUUCUUAAGGACAAGCUGUGAUGGGGAGGGAAAUAAUAGUACCGAAGUUCCUGAUGUCACACUGCCGAGAAAAGCUUCUAGUGAGAAAACAGCGGCCCGUACCGCAAACCGACACAGGUAGUCGAGGAGAGAAUCCUAAGGUGAGCGAGAGAACUCUCGUUAAGGAACUCGGCAAAAUGACCCCGUAACUUCGGGAGAAGGGGUGCUGAUCAUACGAUCAGCCGCAGUGAAUAGGCCCAAGCGACUGUUUAUCAAAAACACAGGUCUCUGCAAAAUCGUAAGAUGAAGUAUAGGGGCUGACGCCUGCCCGGUGCUGGAAGGUUAAGAGGAGUGCUUAGCGCAAGCGAAGGUACGAAUUGAAGCCCCAGUAAACGGCGGCCGUAACUAUAACGGUCCUAAGGUAGCGAAAUUCCUUGUCGGGUAAGUUCCGACCCGCACGAAAGGCGUAACGAUUUGGGCACUGUCUCAACGAGAGACUCG
rnacentral:rRNA from 1 species